CGGGAAUUCGCCAAACCGAUGAGAUCACUGUUAAGAUCAUAUAAGAUAACUGUUUUUUAUUUUUAGUCCAUUUGGAGACAGAGACUUUCAAGAAUUAUGGUCUCGAUCGGUGUCAUUGCCGAGCUGCUAUCAGCAAACGCCGUGCUGACCUUUGCUCCCGCUCGGCUUUCAGGCAGCUGCACAGACAGUGGCAGCCUCUAUUCCACUGGGCUUGAUUAUCCACACGCAGGAUGACAGGUGACCUUCUGACCGUGCGCUGUGUGACUGAUUCUUCACGGCCAUCAGGAGCCCCUAGGUCAUUGCCUCUUUGACAAUGUGGACCAUUACUGUCAGCAACAGUUUCAACAACUGCUCUUUGUGGUGCCACUUUGUUGUUAAGACAUAGUUUUUGCACCAACACAUUUCUGUUUUGACACAAUAAGGAGUUCAUAUAUCUCCAUCAAGCCUGAUUGGCUGCUUAAUCAUCAUAUUGCAUAUUCAUGUAUCGAGAUAAGAUACAUAUAACAUGUAGACAUACAUUUGGAGUAUUCAAUACCAUAAAGUAACUGAAUAAAGAUCACCCUCCUAAAAAUACAUUGAUUUGACUGACAAAAUGGAUAUCAAUAUGCGGAUCUGCACCAAAUCCCAC